rnacentral:lncRNA from 1 species
UGUCUCCUUCAACACUUUUGAAGUCAUUAACAAUGGCUAUUCCCAACUGCAGUAUUACACAGUUACAUGAAGCAAAAUCAGGCUGUUAAAGAUAGCACAAAAGCAUCAUAAAAAGGUCCCAAGAAGAGUACCCCAGCUAUGCUGUACAAGAGUGUUAGAACGACGACGUCUGGUGUAAGAGUGCCAAACAAUGCUUGUCCAGCCCACCUAUCAAUCAAAUGACCACACAAAAAAAAAAAGAAUCAAUGAGAUGAGAACACGGUAAAUAUUGAUGCGCUAUAUUUUCUUACCAUGGCAAACUGAUAUAGCUUGCUCCAAGUGCAAAAUUUCCAACCCAUCCAUUUUGUUUUAGCUGCAAAGAGACCAGUUCAUGUAUUGAUAAGUUCUAAAUCCAAAUACAGACACAAAAUGUCUUGACACUACAACAAUUGAACUUAGGUGUAGAACAUACCUUCAAAGGUGGAGCAGAGUAUAUAUAAGAGAGCAAGGAUCCUCCCAAAGCAAGAUAGAACAAAGUAGGAGUUGUAUGCCCGGCCUGAAAAAGGAAGGUUUAGUCAUUCUGAUGUGCACUUUUAACUGCACUACAUACAUAAAAACCACCAACUUACCCACACAUCUAAAGUUCCAGCAAUUCCAAGACCUCCCAGUAACAGCACCCAGACUUGUGUAAUAACCUGAGUUGCAAACAAGAAGGAGAAAUGAUUAUCAAACAAACUAAUGUUUUUAAAAGCUGAAAAUGUUCUAUAUCAGUACCUCUUGCUCUGAUAUUGCUCCAGAUGGAAUUGGACGAUACGGCUCGUUAAUCGCAUCAAUAUCUCGAUCAUACCAGUCGUUGAUUGUCUAGAAAAGGACACUUGUUAGGUUGUAUUAGCAUAAGAACAACUCAGCUUUUUGUUCUACCAAAACCAGACCUGUGUAUAGCCAGUAAGACACGGGCCAGACAUCAACAUGCAAAGAAUCGACUUAGCAACAUCCUCUGGAGUCCAGUGGAAGUUCCCUACCAGAAGAAACAAAUAAUGAAGGAAGAAUAAUGUGGUGAAGACGUCAAAAAGAUUGUAAAAAAAAAAAAACAUAAGAAGACAGUGUUUUAUUCAUCUUCAAAGAUGUUCAUAUGUUACCUGAAGCAGCAGCACCACAGACAACUCCCCAAACUAAUGGAGGCCAAGUGACUGGCUUUGUAAGCUGUAGACGAAUCUUCCAUUUAUUCUGAACACACAUAUAAGUGAAAAGAUAACUUAACAUGCAGCAGCAUUCUCACAUAAUUUCCACCUAAAAUGUGAUGUUUUUGGUAGUUACCAACUCAACACCUAACACUAUGCAAGUCAACAUCACACUAUGUACAACUAUGACGAUUUUUUCUCAUUUCUAUUUAAAGAUGAUACAUCCAAACUUAAUUUCAUAUGCAUUGGAGAAAAAUAGAUUAAAGAAAAUAAUCGGAGAAGAUUACAGUCUCUUGAGCGGCUCCUUUGAUACCAAGAAGCUGGUUAAUGCUCGAACCACCACCACCGCCUGGUGCCUUUUCCGGUACCUGAGAUUUAACUGCCGUGGAAAUUCAAAAUCAUUAAACUUAACGAAAAAGUUAAGAGAAAAUGAAAAUGAAAAAUUCAAAAGAGCUACACAAACCUUUAUCAGUAUCAGUCUCCGCAGCACGCACAACCAAUCUCCGCCCUAUGUAACAAAAUCAAUUAGAAAUCGCAGGAACAAAAGCUCAGCAUCCAAUUAAGGAAACGGAAUGUACCAGAAGAUUCGAAGCCCGACGUGGACCAACCGUGGCGUCGACGAGUGAACUCGACGGGAUUUCGGAGGGACAGAACUCCUAGACGUUCGGCGGAGUUAACUCGGGAGGGGAGGAUGGAGGAGACGGAGUGGAGAAUGGAAGUCAUAGAAGCGGCGGGCGGAGAGAAUCGUCUACGGUGGCAGUAAGCCGGAGAAGGAGUAGUAUGAGUUUUUGGACGCUUUGCUGUUUCGGGGAAAUCAGUGGUUGUAGCUUACCGGCGAUAAGAGUCUACGUCACGGGUUUUGGCGGCCUCGUUUCGUUUGCCUUACAGCCACGUGGGGAGAUUCUAUUGGGUGAUCGUGUUGAACUAAAACGGACAUAUAAUAGAUAUUUUAGGCCCAUGUCGUAUGAGAAGCCCAUUAGUACGGACGAGGACGCGUGUGGGUAGUAGUCAAAUUUUUUUCUUUUAAUUUGGAUAUUUUAUUUUCGAAGUCUUUGAUAUCAAGGCAAUGAGUUUGAGCUUCUUGAGUGUCCUGACAAGUACGUCGCAAACCCAUUCAAUGGACAUUUUAAAACAUAAUUUAGUAUUAUUCCUUGAGUUAAUUUAAUGUGAGGAGACAAAUACAGCACGAAUCCAAACUGCAAUUAUGGUUUGUACAUGUCCCUUUAGAGGUCAAGUUUAUUUGACGAACUUUGUUCUCCACGGUACAUUACCAAAGUAAACUCACAGACAGAAUAACAACAAACACUGCACAACCUUAAAGACGGCUACGGCUCCGUGAAGCAGCAGGUUUGAAACUCGCAAUCCCUGUUACUUCCCUCGCCGUCACUAAGGUGUUUAUAUCGUAAGUCCCUUCAUAUGUAUAAAUGGGUUCAAGGUCACAGAAAGCCUGCAAUAUUUUUCCACAUUUUAGAGCUUAAACUCACUGAACAUUUUUCAUCAACAAAUAUGAAAGAUUUAGCGCACCUUUGCCACCAGAAAAUCUCCUACAAUUCCAUUUCCACCGAGUAAUUCUCGGCCUAACGAAGCAGUUUCCCUUGCCUUUGAUGAAAUCCAUGCCUAGUGAAAGCACAUGAUUGGUUUAUAUUAUACAAAUGAUCAUCAGUAAAUGUUCACUACUGAGCUAAUGUUUGAUUCCUCCACUUACUCAAGCUCAUAGCAUAGCUCAGUGAGUGUGUAUCAAAUAAUUAAUUAGCAAGGAGGAAACUAAAUGAUCUGUAAGCAAAAAAAAGGAUUGGUUGUUAUACCUUUCCUAAACUGGCUUGACCAGGAGUCAUCUGACCCGACUCAUAUAACUUGCAGAGGCGCCAACCCAUCAGAAACAUCGCUUGAACAUUACCCAGCAUCUUCACAAGCUUCUGUUGGUUUAUCUGGAAUGCAGCCAACGGUGCUCCAAACUGUUUCCUCUCCUUUAGAUACCUUCAAAAAAUAGGCAUUCCAUGGAAAUGUUUUUUUGGUAAGUAACAAAAUGAAUGCUCAUACAAUGUUACAAAAUGAAUGCUUCUCCGGUAAUACCUGUGACACAUGUCGUAGACUCCCAUUGAUACACCAAUUGGUUGCCAGGCCACCAUUACACGUGAGACAGCAAGGACCUAUUCAAGUGAAGCACAGAAAAACAGUUCAAUAUCACGGAGAAAAUAGGAAGCUAUGACGUUUUGUUUGUGAUAAAAUAUUGAAGACCAUUUCUGGAUCAUGUGUAUUCAUCACAACAGUACCUUGCUUGUGUCUUGAAAAGAAUUUAGUCCAGGUAACCGCUCCUCAUCAGGAACAAAGACAUUCUGUAGUAGAAUAUCUCCAUUUUGAACAAUACGUAAACCUAUUUUAUUUGGGAUCUUAGUAACCGUUAAGCCAGGCGCAUCUUUCUUGACUAUGAAUCUGCAAGACGGUAGCUCAGUAGUGAACAUUUACACAACAGCCCAGUAUGUUAUUGAUUAUGGUCCAUAUAAAAUUUAAUUCCCUAGUGCAUCCAGUCACAGAUCCACCUUAUUAACUUCAUUUUUGAGAAACGACCUCCAACCUUAAGAUAUAAAAUUUGAGAUAUCUAGUAAACCAAGAAUCUGACAUACCCAUUCACUUGGUUAGUUGUCGUAUUCCUAGCAAGGAUGAUCAACAGAUCUGCAAAGGUGCUGUUACCGAUCCAACGCUUUUGUCCCGUAAGUACCCAACCUCCUUCGACCUGAUGAAAUAGACAAUUGAAACAAGUCAAUAUUCUGGUAACCGCAGAAGAGGAUACAAGUGAAGGAAACAGUAAAACACCUUUGUGGCAGUUGUUUGUAGAGCACUUGCAUCACUUCCAUUGUCAGGUUCUGUCAAAGCCUUUAUACAUGUCCAAAUAUAUGUAAUGGUAUCAGCAUCAAGUUUACAUAACGCAAACACUUAUACAAGAGAUGAUGCAAAUCUUCUAAGUUCAAGAACCACGCACUCACCCAACAAGUCACAGUUUUCAUCUGAGCCAAAGAAGGCAAAUACUUGUGCUUCUGUGCUUCUGAUCCACAAAGUGCUGUUCUUGGAAAAAAGUUCAUAAGAAAUUAAGCUUAUGCAAACCAUACCAAUCUGUUUAUCACAAGCUAAGGACAUCUUUACCAAUAGUGAGCAUGCCCAAAGAGGUAUGCACCAAAUUAAAAGUCCCACAGCUUGCAUCAACUCUAGAUAUCUCUGCUGUUGCAAUGGCGUUGGCUGUGAUGGAGAGGCCAGGACAGCCAUAACCCUAAAAAGCCAGACCAAAUUAAAAAAAAAAACGAAUCUUCCAUCCACAUAUAAAAAAAACAGAAACAAAGCAUUUCAACAUACCUUAAUAGAGCCACCGACAACACCUAAAGCUCCAAGCUUUGGAAUGAUAUGGAAUGGAAACUCUGCCUUCUCCCAGUACUGAUGAUGAGUAAAAAUAUCAAAGAAAGAAGGAUGAUGUCACGCAAUAAUACUAUCAAAGUUAGCAAACAAACAAACAGGAAGAAGAUAGACACACCUCUGUCAUAAUCGGAGCAACUUCUUUCUCCAUGAACUCCCUCACUCUCUUCCGCACAGCCUGCUCCUCCGGAGUCAACAGUUCAUUGAAAUGGUAAUAGUCUGAAGCUGUAAUCAAGUAUAGGAAACACACAGAUUGAAGCAAAAGCACAACAAAACAUACAUAAUCUCUGAAAUAAAAAGUACUUACUGCAAGGUGGGAACUUAGAAGCUGGGGUUGCUUGAGGAAAUGCAACGGAUACGUCCAUAGCCGGCAAAUCGAAAUACGAACUCUUCACCUUCUUCUCAGCAUCAUCUACCAAUCCAAUUCCAAAAUCAAAAACCUCAAAUAAGAUUUCAUUUCCUAUACACUUCUGAUUCCGUAACACUACGCAAUCAUGAGUCCCUUUGGAUAUAUCUACAAAUGAAAGCAAUCGCGAAACAGGAAGAGAUAACAAAAGAUCAAAGCAGCAAGCAAAAGAAUAGCUGAAUCAGGAGAACGAAACAUGCAAAACCAUUAGAGAAAAGAGACGAUAAACGAACCUCGAUCUCUAGAUGAUGAGUUGGAUCGGAUGGAGUUGACGCGGAGGUGGUCUUGGAGGUGUUGGAGGAACUUGUCACCGACUCCUCCGGUCGCGUUGUUAUUAGGUUGUGGAGGAGGAGGGGGUGCAUAGACUUGUGCGCCUUUGCAACCUUCUGCAAGAUUUAAACUUCGCAUUGUGGUGAAUAGAUUAUGCUGAUGCUGCAUCCUUCAAUCAAGCGUAAACCCAGAUCGAAAUGAACACAAAUUCGAUUUCAUAACCGCUUAAUUUUUGAAGAUCUGAGGAUUCGAUCAAAACAAUAGAAAUCAAAGAUUUACAAUUACGCCAAGAUUGGAUCACGGAGUCCGUGAAACCUCUAAUCGAGAAAAAAAAAAGGAAGUAAAGAAAAAUUAAUUUGUAUUCACUAAUUUUCACGAAAGACGGAAACUUAACGGAGCUCUCCUUCUCCUUCUUCUUCUCGGAGAUGGUGUUUUUUUUUUUUUUUGCAGUGCAAGUUUCGUUUUUUUUUUGGGGUUUGUUGACACUAAAAUUACGAAAAAUUCCGUAAAAAUAGAGAUGUGUAAUUGGAGGAAGAAUCUUCCUCCUCCGUUCGAUCCUUAGCUCUCUUCGUCUUCUCUCUCUGUUUGGUUUUUUUCUUUAUUGUUUUUUUUUACCCUUCGUUUCAGAGAUGCGUUCUAAAAUUAAUUUGUGGCACCUUUUUUACUCUUUUACUUUUGUCCUCUUGCUAGUUUAUUUCCAUUUCUUCAAUUUUAAUCUUAGGUUAUAUAUAGACCUUAUCUACUGCCGUUUUUCUUUAUUUCUUUCCUAGAUUUCGCGGCGCUUUUUUUUUACUUUUCCAAAUGUUGUAAAAUAUUAAUUACUAAAAUAUUUACUUUGAUUAGUUUAUUUGCAGGAUAUUUUAUUAUUUUUACCAACAAAUUAAAAUUGUAGAAAAAGCCAGGAACUGUUUUGAUUGUCCAAUAAAUACAACAAACAAAUCUAUAAAUCAGUUAUCAGUUAUAAUCCGUUGUAUAGUUUUUCAUUCUUCAACCACGUAAUCCUUGUAGUUUGUCUACUAGUUGGCCAUACCUGUAUUAAAUUCUGAAAAAGAGCCAUCAUAAAUCUGUCAGUAUCUUCCAUAUAACAAUUUAUCCGCAGAGAUUCGUUGUUAUCAUAUGAACACAUAAUCUAGUCAUUUAUCCCCCAGUAUUCAUUUGUUUGACGCUACCACAUACUGGUGUGGGUGUCCAUAAAACAAGACCCAAUGAUUUACUGUAAAAAAAAAAAAUCUCAAAGCCAACCAUAUUAUUUACUAUCAUCGAGGAUUUUUAAAUAAAAUAAUUUUCCUGACAGAACAUAUAAAUAAAAAUGAAUUAUUAUAUGUGCUGUUUGAUAGCCGGCAAAUAGAUUAUGCCAACCAACAUUGAGCGAGCGGCGAAGUCAUGUCAACACGUUUUACUGUUUAGUUUAUGAUUAAGGAAGUAAGCUUAUUGAAAUCUGCAUAAUAAGACGCUAUGAUUAAGUCUGAUAUUGCUGGUUUGAUUUGGCAUAAGAAUUAUUAUUAUAUACAUAAAUAUAAUUCCUUGGAACAUCUAUAAUUGAGAUGAGAUGAGAAUGAAGAAAACACAUAAGGUCAUGUGGGUGAGACAGCUCAGAAUGUCGUUUUAGUUAAAGAGGAAACUUUUCAUCCAGAAGCACGGAUCGUACUAUUUACACAGUUUUGUACAUUACCACCACCAAAAUCACUUGUCUAUUUCCCUAUGCCCCCACCUUCUAUAAUUUAAGGUAGGCCUGCGGGCGGAUUCGGUUUAAUUGGAUUUGAAGAAAGUCUAUUGAACCUAACCGAAUAAAAUUAAAAUGGAUUAACCCAAUCACUCAAUAGUCAAUACUCGUUUUCAUUUCUGACACAACCUUAACACCAAGAUGUGUAUUUUCCCGAUUUGAUCAUAUGUAAUUGAAUUUUACAGUGAAAGUUAGAGCAUAUGGGAAGACAAUCCGAAAAUCUAAAAUCGAAACUUGAACUGAACUUCAUACAAACCUCAGGCGUACAAAAACAUGUAUUCAGACUCAGACACUGAGAGAUUUAUAAUAACAUUCCAAGGAUCAUAAAACCAAUAAUUUUUCUUAAACAUUUUCUCAUUUAACAACAGUAAUAAAAAGGAACAAGAUAAUUUUUUUAUUUAUUUUUGGAUACGUAACAAUAAUAAAAUGGUCAGUCAAAUUUCUCCCAGUCUUGAGUUACAUUAGCAGAAGGAGAAGCUGGAGGAGGAGGGUUCAAACUUCCAACACCGUUUCCGAAUGUUUCCCACUCAGUGCUUACGGCUGCAGCUUUGCUCUGAUCCACAAAUGGGUUUGAACAUCUCCCCUUCAACGUAUCCACAGCUUCCUGCAACUUUUGCACUCUACGAACCUGCAACACAAACCCCCGCCCCCAAUCAAAUCUAUAUCCCUGCUCGGUUAACAACUAAAUAUAGAAAGAAGAGACUGUAUCAUAACAUAACCAAAGUCUCUACAUUUUACCACUAACUGAGAAACAACUAUAAAAGAAAUCCAAGUGUACAUCUACUAAAGUCUACAUUUAGAUCAUUGCAACUCAUCCCAAAGCCACAUAGCUCACAAGUACUGAGAUAAAAUAUAGUUUAUGAUACAGACAGGUGAAAACUGUACGAAAUGUAAAGCUAACCUCUGCCUUUCGCAAUACUCUAGCUUCUCCUUCUGCCUCUAUACCAUCCAAUUUAAGCAACUGCCUCAUGAGAAGCUCAGCAGUCAUGUCAAACUCCUCCACCGCAACUUUCGUCCCUCCAUUAACAGAAACUUCCAAAGCAACAACCUAAUUUUUUUUCAAACCACAAUCCUUCAUUCCCACUUUUCCUACAAGUAACAAAACCAAAAAAGAUUGCGUCUCUAAAAAAACUCACCUUAUCUGAGAGCUUAUCAAUCUCUCCAGAGACAGCUUUAACUGCAGCAACAGACUUAGCCAUCUCUUCAGUCAUCACUGGAGGCUGUUCAACUUGUUCAACUCUCUUCUUAGGUUCCUCCACAAGGACAACCUUAGACCCAUCCUUAACACCAGAAGCUUGUAAUUGCUCAGCGUCAUCUUUCUCAACUCCCCUGAACAAGAUCUUCAGAUCAGCAGCCUCUAAUCCAGUUUUCUGGACAAGGGCUUUCUUCACAUCCCCUGUUUAAACAACAUCCAGAGUCUAAAGAUCACAACUUUAAAUUGUAUUAACACAAACCCAAAUAAGGAGUUUUCGUUUGUUCAUUUGAGGUUUUUACCGAAAGUGGCGUGAGCAGAAACGGGAAGAUCGUGGUGCGAGGAGCCAUGGGAGACGUUGAUCCUGAUGGUCUGAACGAAAACGGCGGGAUGUUGAGGGUCGGAGGAGGAGGGAGAGUCGUCUCUUCGUUGGACGAGCAUACCACCAGGUCUCACUUCCCACUCCGAAUCGUCGGUUGAGUUAUUCAUCAUCGUCGUCGGAGCAAGUGGAAUGGGAUUAAACCCCCCUUUUCGAGGUCGAGACUAGGGUUUUCAACUCUUCCUUGUUCUCAUGUGAUACGAAUUCUCCACAUCUACGGGGGUUUUUCAACUUUUUUGCUCAACUUUGGACCACAAACCAAAACCCGGUUCUAGAUCUAGUAAACCGGACCAGAUGGAACGGGUCGGUCGGUAUAUUGGUCGUACACAUUAACUGAUUGUUGGUUGAUUUGGAAUUGAAGCAAAAGGAGCGGCUCUUAGACAGGACUGUGCUGGGCCGGCAUAACCGCCACAACACAUGGAGUGUUCAAGAAAAAGAAGAAUCAUCAUGAGCAAAAAAAAAGAGAGCAAAGAUAUUGGAAAAAAUCAUGACUACAAAUACUCAAAUGCUGAAAGGGACUGAUUGAACCGAAACUGAGUUACCAGGAAGGACUUGUCCUGUAACCGAACAGGGUUCAGUCUGAAACAGAGUAGCAGGUAGUGUAAUGGGUGGGUUGUCCCAUAUUUUAAGAUGGAUCAAGCACACAGUAUCACUCAGGGAAACGCAAUAGAGCUGAUGGAAGUUGGAAACAGCAGCGACAAAACCGAAGUGGGUUCAAUCCCAUUCCAUAUUGUCUUGUUUUUGAUGACUCAAAUCAUAAACCAUCCACAAUCAUUUUUUUCAUUGCACUGAAAUUUGAAAGACCAUCCCAGGCCAUGAGAUGCAAAUUUGAGUAACAAUUGAUACAACAACUAUACAGUCUACACUGUGAUCAAGAACCACGCCCAAAGGGGUUAGUGCCAAGAAAGAGAGGCCAAAUACCUCAUAAUACUAAGGUUAACAGAUUUAAUAUGCAAUUCUAGAGGCAAUAAACUUUUCAAAAGUACAAACUUUGAAUUCUUCAGAGCCAGAAAUUCCUAGCUGGAAUGCUUUAACAACAAGCUCCACCAUAACCGAAAACUCUGGAAGAUGUGUUCCCAACUCUUGUAUUUAGCAAGGCUAGUAAUAAUAAGAACAAGGUCACACAGACGCCUACUUUGGUAAUAAGUUUCUGAUACUAAGCUUCACUAGGUAAAUCUAAUCUAUGUGCGUAACAACAACACAUCCAAAAACAACACGAGGAGCCAAGCACUCCCUCAUGAAAGUGUUUACUUUAUUUGAUCAAAUAUAACAAGAAAACAGAUUAGCUCAAGCCUUGUGGAAUCAAACAAAGCUCUAGUUUAGUGUAAUCUCCUUCCUCCUCCUAUUUCUCAAAAAUACUCAAAAUCAAAUCAAUGUUUUCCAGAAACAAAAACAUUCCUGAUACUCCGGAAUCUAUAAGAAUCAAUUAUAUUUCAUAACAUGACCAAUACUCAUCUAAGAAGCAACCUUAGCAGCUUCUUCACUCGCGUGAUUCGCUUCAAUAAUCUUCUUAUUCUUCUCAAUCGCCGCCGCAACCUCCUGAGGCAUAUACUUCUCAUCAUGCUUAGCCAAAACCUCAGUCGCCGAGAAGAAACAAUCAAGCCCCCUCGCCUUCCCGGAGACAGGCUUCGUCGACACCUCCUUCCUCACCUCAUCACUAAACGGCUUGAUAAAACCUUCCACCACAACAGAGUGACCUUCCCUGAACAGAUCAGGCAACGAGCCUUUGUACCUCACCAGAAUAUCCGUAAUCAGAUCCGUGAUCACGAACUCCAUCUCCUGAGACGCCGCGGGCUGCGCGACGCUGCCUUCGAGGACGAGGCCUCCGAGCCUGAACUUGUUCUUCGUCGGAUUCGCGGCGAAUUUCUCCAUGGCGUCGGAGGGGGUUAGGUAGAAGACGAGCUGGUCUUGGAACUGGUUGAGGACGAUCACCACGAAGCCCGCGAUGCAGCUGAAGGUUAGCGCGUAGGUCCAGAGGCGGCGGUUCUGCAUCUGACGGGCCUUGGCUCCUAUGUCGAUCUUCUUGGGCCGGGUUGGGCCGCGGCGGAGGGUGGAGAGAGAUCGGAGGAGGGUGGGGGAAGAGAUUCGGGAGAGAUCUGGUGAGGCGGUGGUCAACGAGUGGAGUAUUGGUUUAGGAGAUUCGAAGAUUUGAGGAUGCUUUGGGAUAGAUCGGAGGAUCUGAGAACUCCGACGGAGCAAGAAUCUAGCCGCCAUGUUCUCGUGGGAAUCAGAUUCCGAGAAAGUUCGUGAGGUUUAUGGAGAAAAUGGCCACAAGCCGCCCACUGACUAUGGACCACGUCACGAAACCUCUGCGUGGUUUAGAGGGUUACUUGUAUCGACUUAUUUUGACCAAUAUUUGGUUAACAUAAGCACAGGCCGGUUCGGUUCAAACGGUUGUUUGGUUCAAGUAAUUAAAUUUUUUAUUAGUUUUAGUUUUCGGUUAGAUUGUGAUUUAAUUUUGUUCAAAAUUCAGAUGAUCUUUGUUAAAAUUUGGUUUUCGGUUAAUUCAGUUAGUACUUUUCCAAAUUCAUACAUAAUUUUGGUUUGAUUUGAUAUAAAUUGGUAUGAUUUAUGAUUUAGUUAGGCCUUUAUAAAAAAAUGAACUAGCCAACUACCAAACGAAUCAUAACCGCCGUAGGAAUAAUGUUAGUUAACAGGCAAACUGAGAGGCAUCAGGUACAAUCAGUUCAAUAUUAAUGUAAAGCUGGGUGACUUGUUGCCAACUUAGACCGAAAUUAAUUAGAUCUACUUUCUUGUCUUCGCAAAACUAUAACUGAAAGCCCUCGGAAUCUUUGAUUCGAGCUGAGAUUGGCGUGGUCAUGACCUAAGUCGAUCAUAACAAUGAUGAUGAACAUUCAGACAAGUGUUUUUUGCACAAAGACACAAAUUGAUCAAGUAUUUUCCUGCUCUGUUUUUCUUUUAACUCUACGAAGAAACGCUCUGAAACUCAAACAUUACAAAGACCUGAAAGUUCCAAAAAUUCUUAAGAAAGACAAAAGAGAAAUAGAUCUCCUUCAUUCUUGAGCAGUGCUACUUGUUUCCAUUGGCUCAGCCUCAGUUGAGGCCUCUCCUGCCUUCUUCGCUGCUGCAAAAACACAACCAUAACCCAUCAUGAAUCUUUUUAUCUCAAACAUCAAGUAAUGUUGAUUGCAUUGAGUCUGCAAAUUUAUGUUCUUAGUUUCAUACCUUUCUUCUUCUUUCCACCACCCUUCUUCUUCUUGAUACCCAAGGCUAACCACCCUUUGAUCUCAGGGUCAUCGAUGGUCUUCGUAGGUUGAAGCUCUUGAAGUGUAUGUGAAGUGAUCCUAUCUGAUCCAUUUGGCAUCAGCAAGACUGUGAAUUUAAUCUGGGCAACAAAAUCACCUGUUGAAGAAACAAAAUACACCAUGAGUCACGUUGCCAAGAUUUAUCACGUUGUAAGUAUUUAAUGGAGCAAAACCUUUUAUCAUCCUUACCAGGCUUCUCGUAGAGAACAGGAUAUGGCUGUAGAUGACCAUGGUUCACACACUCCACAAGUCCAAGACGUGCCCUCUUCUCCUCAAGUGACCUGUAUUGAUCGUAUACACUCAAACAACAUUAAAAAGCUGCAAUUAUAUUAAAAAGAUAUAAACGGCUUAACAAAGUACAAAAGACACCUUGCAGUGAAUGGCAUAUGGGGGAACUUCUCUUUAAUCUCGCUGAUUAUGAAUCUGGAGGCCUUCAUCUUCAACUGAUAGUUAACAGCUGCAUCCUUCUUGUAAACAGUUGUUUGCUUCUCGUCUAAAAGCUUUGGCUGCAAAUUGAAAGUGUAUGAGAACUAUGGCAACUGAAGAAGCUUUGCAAAUUGGUCAGCAAGAUGUAAUCAACAAAAAGCAAAUUUACCUUGCCAUCACCAGUGCUUGCCACAAUAUCUAUUGCAUAGACUUCAUUCUCUUCAAACUCAGCAUCAUCGACUCUUGUUUCUGGAGUGGAUACACUUAGGAAACUCUUGCUUGCAUCUAUCACGUUCUGUUUCAUCUGGUGGGAGAUAACCCCUUCCACAAUUUUGCAGUCAUAAGCUUCAGCCACCUUCUGAAUAGCUUCAGUGACAGCAUGGUUCUGCCACAAGAAUAAAAAAUAUAUAUUCAAUUGUCUUGCUUGCAGCUCGUUGUAGGAAUGAAUAAGAGCCUCAUGUGGAUGUGAAUCCAUAGCAUUCUUAGUAAAUAUUCAUCCUUGGGGAAACGUAAAUGAGAAAACUAUCCAGACUCAGCAAAACCAAUAUCUUCUUCCAGAAACACAAGAGUGAAAAAGAAAACAAAAACAGUAAGAUCUAUUGAGCAAAGUUGCUAUCACUAAACCUACUAAAAAAUUAGAAUUAAAAAAAGGUUCCCAUCAGAGUAACUAUGACAAAAUAAGCAUCACAUGGAUGAUAAUCCAUAGCCAAAAACAAGUGUUUCAUCAUCUGGGGGUUUGCAAAACGUUAUCAAUCAUUUAAAAAACCAACAACCAGCUUAUAGUUUCAACUUUCAUGUAAGAGUAGCACCAUAUAGACAACUGUUUACCUUCUUCCCAGGACGUACGAGCCUCAAGGCAACUUCAGCGGCAGUAUUAGCAGCUGCAAUAACAUCAGCUUUGCGUCCAGUAACGGGCCCUUCUUGAAUAACAUGUGUGUGUGCAACAAGUGCAAUAAACCCAUCAAUAUGGCAUCCCAUAUCACUGAAAUGGAGAAACGUAAAACAACAAAUUAGAUAAUAAAAAACGGUUUUCAGACAAGAGUGUACUCAAUACAGACAAAACACAGAAAGAUAUUGCUGCUUACAUUUUGACCAUAUCGCCCUCUUCCAAGACAGUCUCGUCGCUGGCGAGGGGAGAGAAAUGACCAACAGUGUUGUUAACGGAAACACAUGUGGGAAACGCGACGCCUCGAUCAAUCUUCUUCUUGGCAUUCUUGUACAUGCUCCCUGCUUGCCUUUUUUUUUUAACACACACACAUAAUAUGAGAGUAAUGACAUCUUUAUGAAGAUGAAAAUAAAUACUAACUCUUUGAUAAAGGCGUCUCCCUUCUCGCAGAUAUCGACAAUCUUUGCUUUUGGCUUGCAUUCAGCUAAGACCACCUGUAACGCCUCUGCAAUUUCCAAAUAAAAAUCAUUUUAAAAUCGAAAACCUUAGGGACAAAGAGAGUAUGCGUUCUUACUGUUGACAAUCUCAGCGGCGCUUUUGUACUUGGUGACGACUUCAGGAGAGGUGAGAUCCAGCUCCUUCUCGUCUCUCUCAUCGUCUGAACUCAUCUUUAGCGGCUCUCGAGGAUUGACACAGGAAGGAAAACGUUAGGGUUUAAAGAGAGAGAGAGGUGUGGUUUGUGUAAAAUGAAAUUGGUGAGAAGCGCAAUGAAGGUGGUGGUGGCUCAAAUAGCAGCACUAGGGUUGCACUUGUUGUUUCAUCUCUUCAUGACGACGCCGUUUUAGAUGUAAUAAGUCCCUCUUUUUGUUUAUACGCGUGGUAGUCUUUUGACUCUAAUGCGGGCCAAAUAAAAGGGUUCUGGCCAUUUAACAUGUACGUAAAUGGGUCCACUAAAGGUGAAUGUUAAGUAGCUAGUUUACUUCGUCUGUAAUAUAACUUCAGGCUUGUUACUAACGGCAGAGUGGCACCGCUUGGAAGUUUUGAGGUUCUGGUGUCGAAUGAUAUGAAGCUGUGUGUGAGAUCUGGUUUCAAUCAUUGCUACUUACUGAUAAAAUUUAUAUAUAAAUUUUGGCACCUAAAACUAGCGCUUCGUGAACUAAUAGCUCAUGACCAGUCAUGAUUAGCAGAGAUGGAAGUAACAAGACUAAGCGUAUAUAAGAAACUCAUUUCCGCGGAAGCACUUACAUAGCGAUCUCAGUUUCACGCGAUUCGGCUAGCUUGAUACAACAAGGAGUUGUUUCUAGUGAUGGUUGGUACAUACAUUAUAUUUUGCAAUGUCUUAAAAGACUAGUCGAUGCCACCACUUUAACCAAAUUUAUGGUUCCGCAAAUUAGCGCGCAUUUACUUUGUGGCCAAAACUCCCAUCAUAAUAAACGCUCAUUCAGUGACUUGAUGCUAAUGCCGUAACGAAUAUGCCAAGCACCAAGAACGGCUGUGCGCUAGCCUGUAAUCAAGCAGUGUAUUAUCAUCAAAAGACCUAUCUGCUUCCAAGUUCUUUAGAUGUUUCAAAAUAAAAAAAACUCUACAUAUCGCCAUUCCUAGUUUCAUUACUAUGCGCAUUAGAUGACUUACCUGGUACUUGACGUCGUAUUUGACAGGGUCCUUGAGAAAGUAUUUAAACUGAAGUUUGAAGAAGAGUAAGUAAUAAUCAAACGAGUGACAAGAAUGUAGCUGAGUUUGGAUAUGACACUGUAAUAUGUCUUUACCUGGAACACAAUCUGUGGAAUGAUCAAAGCAAGCAACGCCAACGCAUAAUAAGGUUUGCCAGAUGCUAAUAGGUAUCCUGCAACCAGAUACACAAUUAUUAGCUCAUUUAUCUAAGAUCCCCAGAAACCAAGGAUAAUCCUUCAGCUUCAUUGGUUUGUGUUUUAACCGGUAUAUAAUAUCUAGUUGAUAAGAUCAAGUAUAUAGAAGCCACAGCUGAACGAAAUUCUACAUACCGGCAACAGAGAGCUGAGUAACGUCUAUCGCACCAACGCAUAUCCAUUUUGCAGCUUCAGUGCCAAAAGCUACAGGGAGAGACUGAAGGCCCAUUGCUCUGUCUCCUUCAACACUUUUGAAGUCAUUAACAAUGGCUAUUCCCAACUGCAGUUUUACACAGUUACAUGAAGUAAAAUCAGGCUGUUAAAGAUAGCAAAACAGGCAUCAUAAAAAGGUCCCAAGAAGAGUACCCCAGCUAUGCUGUACAAGAGUGUUAGAACGACAACGUCUGGUGUAAGAGUGCCAAACAAUGCUUGUCCAGCCCACCUAUCAAUCA